ACGGGUGAGUAACGCGUAUCCAACCUGCCUCUGACUGAGGGAUAACCCGUCGAAAGUCGGCCUAAUACCUCAUGACAUCGUCUGCGGGCAUCCAACGACGAUUAAAGAUUUUAUCGGUCAGGGAUGGGGAUGCGUCUGAUUAGCUGGUUGGCGGGGUAACGGCCCACCAAGGCGACGAUCAGUAGGGGUUCUGAGAGGAAGGUCCCCCACAUUGGAACUGAGACACGGUCCAAACUCCUACGGGAGGCAGCAGUGAGGAAUAUUGGUCAAUGGGCGAGAGCCUGAACCAGCCAAGUAGCGUGCAGGAUGACGGCCCUAUGGGUUGUAAACUGCUUUUAUGCGGGGAUAAAGUGAGGGACGUGUCCCUCAUUGCAGGUACCGCAUGAAUAAGGACCGGCUAAUUCCGUGCCAGCAGCCGCGGUAAUACGGAAGGUCCGGGCGUUAUCCGGAUUUAUUGGGUUUAAAGGGAGCGUAGGCCGUGGAUUAAGCGUGUUGUGAAAUGCAGGUGCUCAACGUCUGCACUGCAGCGCGAACUGGUCCACUAGAGUGUGCGCAACGCAGGCGGAAUUCGUCGUGUAGCGGUGAAAUGCUUAGAUAUGACGAAGAACUCCGAUUGCGAAGGCAGCUUGCGGGAGCACAACUGACGCUGAAGCUCGAAAGUGCGGGUAUCGAACAGGAUUAGAUACCCUGGUAGUCCGCACGGUAAAC
rnacentral:rRNA from 1 species